rnacentral:rRNA from 1 species
GACGAACGCUGGCGGCGUGCCUAAUACAUGCAAGUCGAACGGUCUUUUCUAUGGAAGCUUGCUUCCGCUGAGAAGAUAGUGGCGAACGGGUGAGUAACACGUGGGUAACCUGCCCAUAAGAGGGGGAUAACAUCCGGAAACGGGUGCUAAUACCGCAUAGUUUUCUUGAUCGCAUGAUUGAGAAAGGAAAGACGGCCUUUGUGCUGUCGCUUAUGGAUGGACCCGCGGCGUAUUAGUUAGUUGGUGAGGUAACGGCUCACCAAGACGAUGAUACGUAGCGGACCUGGGAGGGUGAUCGGCCACAGUGGGACUGAGACACGGCCCAAACUCCUACGGGAGGCAGCAGUAGGGAAUCUUCCGCAAUGGACGAAAGUCUGACGGAGCAACGCCGCGUGAGUGAAGAAGGUUUUCGGAUCGUAAAACUCUGUUGUCAGAGAAGAACAAGUCGGAGAGUAACUGCUCCGGCCUUGACGGUAUCUGACCAGAAAGCCACGGCUAACUACGUGCCAGCCGCCGCCGUAACAC